rnacentral:rRNA from 1 species
UGGGGAAUAUUGCACAAUGGGCGAAAGCCUGAUGCAGCAACGCCGCGUGAGUGAUGAAGGCCUUCGGGUUGUAAAGCUCUGUCUUUUGGGACGAUAAUGACGGUACCAAAGGAGGAAGCCACGGCUAACUACGUGCCAGCAGCCGCGGUAAUACGUGGAGGUCGCAAGCGUUGUCCGGAUUUACUGGGCGUAAAGGAUGCGUAGGCGGAUUUUUAAGUGAGAUGUGAAAUACCCGGGCUUAACUUGGGUGCUGCAUUUCAAACUGGGAAUCUAGAGUGCGGGAGAGGAGAAUGGAAUUCCUAGUGUAGCGGUGAAAUGCGUAGAGAUUAGGAAGAACACCAGUGGCGAAGGCGAUUCUCUGGACCGUAACUGGCGCUGAGGCAUGAAAGCGUGGGUAGCAAACAGGAUUAGAUACCCUGGUAGUCCACGCCGUAAACGAUGAGUACUAGGUGUAGGAGGUAUCGACCCCUUCUGUGCCGCAGUUAACACAAUAAGUACUCCGCCUGGGAAGUACGAUCGCAAGAUU